GUGGCGAACGGGUGAGUAACACGUAGGUAACCUGCCUUAUAGACUGGGAUACCCAAGGGAAACUUUGGACAAUACCGGAUAUCGACCGCAAGGGCAUCCUUGCGGAGGGAAAGGAGCAGCAAUGCUUCACUAUGAGAUGGACCUGCGGCGCAUUAGCUAGUUGGUGAGGUAACGGCUCACCAAGGCUUCGAUGCGUAGCCGACCUGAGAGGGUGAUCGGCCACAAUGGAACUGAGACACGGUCCAUACUCC
rnacentral:rRNA from 1 species